AGGAAAGGGGUGGUGCAGCGAAAAGCUUGGAAUACGAAGAUUUUUUGACUUUAUUCUCCCGAUCAUGUUGGCAAUUGUUUUUUCAUUUUGUUAAAAACUUUAGGUUUUAUCAUUGUUUAGUCUUUCAUAGUCCUCGCCUUGGUUUCUUCUGUUUAAAGACAUACUUAGCUCUCAUGCUUCGAGCUCGGUGUCUUAUGGACUUGUGGACUGGGCGAGACCCCAGGGUCCCUCGCCCA
rnacentral:lncRNA from 1 species